UCCCCUAGUAACUGCGAGUGAAGAGGGAAGAGCUCAAAUUUGAAAUCUGGCAGUGUUUUGCUGUCCGAGUUGUAAUCUAGAGAAGUGCUGCCCGUGCUGGACCAUGUACAAGUCUCCUGGAAUGGAGCGUCACAGAGGGUGAGAAUCCCGUCUUUGACAUGGACUGCCAGUGCAUUUGUGGUGUGCUCUCAAAGAGUCGAGUUGUUUGGGAAUGCAGCUCUAAAUGGGUGGUAAACUCCAUCUAAAGCUAAAUAUUGGCGAGAGACCGAUAGCGAACAAGUACCGUGAGGGAAAGAUGAAAAGAACUUUGGAAAGAGAGUUAAACAGUAUGUGAAAUUGUUGAAAGGGAAACGCUUAAAGUCAGUCGUGUCGGCCAGGGAUCAACUCAGUAUUAUCUGCUGGGUGUACUUCCUGAUCUGAUGGGUCAACAUCAGUUUUGACUGCUGGAAAAGGAUAGAGGGAAUGUGGCACCUUUGGGUGUGUUAUAGCUCUCUGUCGGAUGCAGUGGUUGGGACUGAGGAAAGCAGCAUGCCGCAAGGCCGGGUCGUUUCGACCACGUUCAUGCUGAGGAUGUUGGCAUAAUGGCUUUAAUCGACCCGUCUUGAAACACGGACCAAGGAGUCUAACAUGCCUGCGAGUGUUUGGGUGGCAAACCCGAGUGCGGAAUGAAAGUGAAAGGUUGAGAUCCCUGUCAUGGGGAGCAUCGACGCCCGGACCUGA
rnacentral:rRNA from 1 species